rnacentral:rRNA from 1 species
GAUGAACGCUGGCGGCGUGCCUAAUACAUGCAAGUCGAGCGAGCAGACGAGCAGCUUUCUCCUCUGAUGUUGUCGCCGGACGGGGAAGUAAAACGGAGUUAACCUACCUAUAAGACUGGAAUAACGUCGGGAAACCGGGGCUAAUCCCGGAUAAUAUAUUGAACCGCAUGGGUCAGGAGUGGAAGACGGCUUUGCUGGCACUUAUGGAUGGAGCCGCGCCGCAGUAGCUAGUUGGUAAGGUAACGGCCUACCCAGGCAACGAUGCGUAGCCGGCCUGAGAGGGUGAUCGGCCACACUGGCUCUGAGACACGCUCCAGCCACCUACGGGAGGCAGCAGUAGGGAGUCUGCCGUACUGGGCGAGAGCCUGACGGAGCCACGCCGCGUGAGUGAUGAAGGUCUUCGGUCCGUAAGACUCUGUUAUUCGGGAAGAAUGAAUGCGCAAUUAACUACGCCCGUCUUGACGGUACCUAAGCAGAAAGCCACGGCUAACUACGUG